UACAGAGGUCUCAAGCGUUGUUCGGAUUCAUUGGGCGUAAAGGGUGCGUAGGUGGCGCCGUAAGUCGGGUGUGAAAUUUCGGAGCUUAACUCCGAAACUGCAUUCGAGUACUGCGGUGCUUGAGGACUGGAGAGGAGACUGGAAUUCAUGGUGUAGCAGUGAAAAUGCGUAGAGAUCAUGAGGAGACCGUGGCGAAGCAGGUCUCUGGCUGACACUGACGCUCGAUGCACGAAAGCCGUGGGGAGCAAACAGGAUAGAACCC
rnacentral:rRNA from 1 species